UGCCAGCAGCCGCGGUAAUACGUAGGAUGCAAGCGUUAAUCGGAAUUACUGGGCGUAAAGCGCUCGUAGGCGGUUGAUUAAGUCGGAUGUGAAAGCCCAGGGCUUAACCUUGGAACUGCAUUCGAUACUGGUCAGCUAGAGUACAGUAGAGGCAAGUGGAAUUUCCUGUGUAGCGGUGAAAUGCGUAGAUAUAGGAAGGAACAUCAGUGGCGAAGGCGACUUGCUGGACUGAUACUGACGCUGAUGCACGAAAGCGUGGGUAGCAAACAGGAUUAGAUA
rnacentral:rRNA from 1 species